rnacentral:rRNA from 1 species
GACGAACGCUGGCGGCGUGCUUAACACAUGCAAGUCGAGCGAGGCCCCUCCUUCGGGAGGGUGUCCUAGCGGCGAACGGGUGAGUAACACGUGGGCAACCUGCCCUCAGCUCUGGGAUAACUCCGGGAAACCGGGGCUAAUACCGGAUACGACCUCCACGGGCAUCUGCGGAGGUGGAAAGUUUUUCGGCUGAGGAUGGGCCCGCGGCCUAUCAGCUAGUUGGUGGGGUAGUGGCCCACCAAGGCGACGACGGGUAGCCGGCCUGAGAGGGGGACCGGCCACACUGGGACUGAGACACGGCCCAGACUCCUACGGGAGGCAGCAGUGGAGAAUAUUGCGCAAUGGGCGAAAGCCUGACGCAGCGACGCCGCGUGAGGGACGAAGGCCUUCGGGUUGUAAACCUCUUUCAGCAGGGACGAAGCGAAAGUGACGGUACCUGCAGAAGAAGCACCGGCCAACUACGUG